ACUCCUGUACAGGAUACCAGGCAUCGCAGUCUGUUUUUAGGGGAAUGCAGCCUUGGUAUUUAGAAAGCAGUACAGCUCCUUUGGUGGCUGUUUUCAGAGGCUGCCCAGUUGGACUGAAGAAAUGCUAAAUUGUUUUACCAUCUCCCGAAUUCCCAACACGCAUUUAUCUAGGUUUUCAAAAUGUGACAAAUAAAAACUACCCAAAAGACAUCUGUUCUACCUGAGAGUCCAUUAGCAUCUGAGAGGCCAUGGUACUCGGUGUUAUUAUCUACACGAGUAAAGAAUCAUCCGUCACAAUCAGUUUUACUUUUCAAAUGGUGCCUGAUAAAAUCCCUGCAGUCCACAUAACAAGCAAAAGGUCCAUUUAUUUUCAAGGCAACUUCCAUCAGCCAGCUAGCACAGGCAUUACAAUUAAACACAGACAACUCCCAUCAACCAGCUAGCACCCAGUGUAGACCUGCAGCCCCCUCUGGUGUACAGACAGCACAACUGCAUGCCAGUCAGUGAUGUGUUACGUACUGCCUAUUUAACCAAAGAUAUUCUGUUCCCAUCAGAACCCCGUGACACAACUAAACACUUCAACACUUCCUGUCUUUGGAUACUGUUUAUAAAACAAAAACACGUGUUCCAUAGUAGAGAGAUCAAUAUGAGCCGCAUAGAUUACUAGUGAGGAAUGCAACAGAGCCAAUUCCAAAAUCUAAGAAUGCGCACUUUGUACAGUAAUAAUAUAUACCUGUCACUGUAAAACGGAUGAGAAAUAGCAGUAGUGGAAAUGACAGGUGACUGCUGUGCAUUGGUAUUUGAACCCUUGUCGAAAUGGUUAAACAUUACAUUUGAGCAAUAUGUCAUUGCUACAUAUAUACAUACACGAGGGAAGCAGGUAUUGCAGAGUAAUCUAUUUAUUAAAGGUGGUCCAUCGAUUCUGCCCCUGUUUAGACUAGACCCCCAUCCAAGGGUUCAACUAAAUAGUCAAGCUGGUAGUGUGAGGCAGUGGGGGCUCGGCAGGAGUGUGAUCAUGUAAUGCGGGUGUUAGUGUGAGGGUGUGUGAUCAUGUGAUGCUGGUGUUAGUGUGAGGGUGUGUGAUCAUGUGAUGCUGGUGUUAGUGUGCAGGAGUGUGAUCAUGUGAUGCUGGUGUUAGUGUGAGGGGGUGUGAUCAUGUGAUGCUGGUGUUAGUGUGCAGGAGUGUGAUCAUGUGAUGCUGGUGUUAGUGUGAGGGGGUGUGACCAUGUGAUGCUGGUGUUAGUGUGAGGGUGUGUGAUCAUGUGAUGCUGGUGUUAGUGUGCAGGAGUGUGAUCAUGUGAUGCUGGUGUUAGUGUGAGGGGGUGUGAUCAUGUGAUGCUGGUGUUAGUGUGAGGGAGUGUGAUCAUGUGAUGCUGGUGUUAGUGUGAGGGAGUGUGAUCAUGUAAUGCUGGUGUUAAUGUGAGGGAGUGUGAUCAUUUAAUGCUGGUGUUAGUGCAGGAGUGUGAUCAUGUAAUGCUGGUGUUAAUGUGAUCAUUUAAUGCUGGUGUUAGUGCAGGAGUGUGAUCAUGUAAUGCUGGUGUUAAUGUGAUCAUUUAAUGCUGGUGUUAGUGUGAGGGAGUGUGAUCAUUUAAUGCUGGUGUUAGUGUGAGGGAGUGGGGGCUGUGCUGGAAUGUGAUUACGUGUGUAUGACUGGGGGGAGGGGUUGUUGCAGUUUGAAAAGGAUAUUGCAUUUCAGAAUCAAUGCUACACAAAGAAAAGUGGCGGAGCAGGCUUCCUCAGGAAAGAGCAGUCACUUCCUGGAAAAUAAGCAGGCUCCGAGUGAUAACCAGCCCUCCAGCCUUCCCACUCCCAGUCCAGCCCUGUGCAGGAAUCAAGCUGCGCACACAAGCUCACCCCGCUGCCUGCUCCAGCCCAGGGCGUUCUAGUAUCCAGCAGUGACUGUGUAAGAAAUCACUUUGUACUGGCAGGGACUGCGCGCUCACUGCCCCACGACAGUGCUUCACUAGCAGGGUACUUCAGACGUCCAUCACAAUGAACUUCUACAUCGUCCUUGUACUCGUGAGCCUACAUUUCAGAGGGGUUGAACUCCUGUCUGCGGUCACUAUAAACAAAGUGACACUUCAGAUUGACCCUUCCAGCCCUGUGCAAAGUGGCCGUAACAUUACCCUGACCUGCGCACUCGACAUCAGCACAGCCGAGCCCAGCCAGUCUCACCCACACCAGUACACCUUUUAUAAGGAGGACCAGAUUGUGUACACCAAGAAUGACACCAGCGACAGACUGCAGUACAAGAUCACAGCAGCUAGGGUGUUCCACUCAGCCAGCUACAGCUGUGAGGUCAGAGCUGAGGGGAAGAGGAAGGAAAGCAAUCAAGCAGCACUCCGGGUAACAGGUCUGCAGCAGCCUGUUCUGACUCUGAACCGCAACACAAUCCGAGAGGGCGAGGAGGUCGCUGUCCGCUGUGCUGCCCCCGAGGAACUAGGAUCCCUCAUCUUCAACUUUUACAAAAACUUGUCGAAAGGCCCGGUCAGAAAGCUCACCAGAGCUGUUAAUUUUGCCGAGACCACGUUUAAUUUUGAACCAGAAGAAAGAACCGCUAGCUUUUAUUGCACUUUCUCAGUGACCACGGUGCCUGAUGCUGGAGCGUCGCCCCCUAGUGCCGUGAGGAAUGUCACGAUAUCAGAAAUAUUGAAAAAUCCAAUCAUGGAUGUAAAACCGGCCCAGAAUGUAACUGAAGGAGACACUUUUGAGAUCAUCUGCAGGGCUGACGACUCGACCAGCAAUGCCAACCAGCAGAUAAUAUACCUGCGAAAGAAAAAAGACAUACUGACUUAUAAAACCGGCCGUGUAAAUUAUACCAGUACUGCUCACUCACAGGAUUCGGGGGACUAUGAGUGCAUCUCCGACUUGCACAAUGUGCAGAGAUCAACUAUAAAGACCCUUCGUGUGGCAGAGUUGUUUUCUAAACCAGUCUUGCUCGCUGAACAUCAUGAAAUAAACGAAGGCGCUCUGUUGAACGUGACCUGCUAUAGCAGGUACAGCACUCCACAGAACCUUUCCACUGCCCCGGGACUCAAGUAUGCACUUCUCAAGGAUGGCACUUUAAAAACAGCUGCCUCUGUCCAGUCAGGCUAUGUGAAUGAGAAAGCCUCUGCAGCCGAGGGAGGGCUUUACUCCUGCAAUGUGACUGCAAAGGGAAUAACCAAGAGCAGCGAACAGGUCCUUAUCAAAGUGUAUGUUCUAGUGACCAGUCCCACUCUGAGUAUAAUUGGAUCUUCAGAGGUCAUUGCUGGGAAGUCUGCUAGACUGAAGUGCCACUCUGAAAAGGGAUCGCCUCCCAUUACUUACGUCCUGCUGAGAGGCAACCAGACUGUGAGCAUCCUUGCAGUGAAGCAGGAGGUGGCCGUGUUCAACGUCACAAUGUCAAACACGGGCAGCACCCAAGAGUACAGGUGUGAGGCGCAGAACCGAGGAGCCAGCAGUGCCAAGCUCAGCAACGCAGUGCGAAUCACAGUCAUCGUUCCAGUAUCCAGUCCAACGCUGAGCAUGAUCCCAGGCAAGGAGGUGGUCUUUGAAGGGGAGGACCUGACUCUCAUUUGUGUCGUAGCUAACGCCACUUUACCCAUCACCUUUCAGUUCUUCAGGGAUGAAGAAGAGCAUCCUUUCCACUCCACAACCACAAAUUCCACCACAGCCUUUACCGAGUUUGGUGGCACAGAGCACAACGUAGGGUACUCGUGCCAAGCAUCAAACAAAGCCGGCACAAGCAGAAAGAGCAACCGAGUGUCUGUGACUGUAACAAUGGCCAUAUGGAAGAGAAUAUUAAUCGCCUUGUUUUGCAUCAUGAUUAUUCUGGGUGUAUUUGUCUUCUGCAUCGUUAGAUAUAAACUCAAACAGGCUAAAAAUGAGAGCAGCGUGGAAAUGGCAGGGUGAGUUUUUGUCUUUUGGGGAAAGUGUUUUGAAAAGCUCCGAGCAUACUGAUGCAGUGAGAAAUGUCUUUGAAUUAUCCAGCACUAAUACAGGCUCACAAACUGCUUGGUUUUCUCAAAAAACCAUCAAUGCACAAUAAUGCAGAAGCUGCAAAGCAAUGUUAAGGAAUUAUUUCAUGUUCAGCAGAACCAAAGACUGAAUGUAACGACAUGCAGUGUUAACCCAAAAAGAACAAAGAGCCUGAAAAGAAACUGCAGAAACUGUUCCCAUCUCCCAUUACUCACAAGCCCUGGCUCUCUAUUUUACAAGCACAAGCACUAAAGACAUGCUGAACCCGGGGCUCGCACCAUCAAUAAGUGCUUCAGUACAAGUGGAGACAGCUGUGUUUAGUUCAUGUGUAUGACUGACUGCCACCUUUUCCUGGAUAAUGAACUAUUUCAGUGUCUCUGUUCUAUUCACCAUAAGCACUGGAACAGUGACCGCUUCCUGUCUGGACUUUCUGUGUGCUCUUAUGGGACUUUCUGUGUGCCCUUGUAGAAAGUUACAAGGCAAGGGGGUCUAGUCCUCUCUCGUCGUUGUACAAUGAUCCUCAUCAGUCCAAGUUAGAAUACUGUUAGAAUACUGCUUUUUAAUGAAAAAUUAAAAACAAAUACUUCCUGGGUAAAGAUGCAAAGGCACAGUAAGAGUCUGAUAUUUUGUAGAUCACGUGUGUCAGUGAUCCGAGCGUCCUGUCCUGUACAUCACCAGCCACCCUGUUAUAU